rnacentral:rRNA from 1 species
CACGUAGGGGGCAAGCGUUGUCCGGAUUUAUUGGGCGUAAAGAGCUCGUAGGCGGUUCGGUAAGUCGGGUGUGAAACCUCCAGGCUCAACCUGGAGACGCCACCUGAUACUGCUGUGACUCGAGUCCGGUAGGGGAGCGUGGAAUUCCUGGUGUAGCGGUGAAAUGCGCAGAUAUCAGGAGGAACACCAGCGGCGAAGGCGGCGCUCUGGGCCGGAACUGACGCUGAGGAGCGAAAGCCAGGGGAGCAAACGGG